AUACUUACCUGGCAGGGGAGAUACCAUGAUCACGAAGGUGGUUUUCCCAGGGCGAGGCUUAUCCAUUGCACUCCAGAUGUGCUGACCUCUGCGAUUUCCCCAAAUGCGGGAAACUCAACUGCAUGAUUUGUGGUAGUGGGGGACUGCAUUUGCGCUCUCCCCUG
rnacentral:snRNA from 1 species